rnacentral:lncRNA from 1 species
GGCUUUCCUCUGACCAUCACUUUUCCCUGAUCCUUAGAUCCCUGUUUAUAGAUAUUUUGGAACGAAACUGCGAGAUUCGAGGCAUAAAGAUGUUGUCAGCGAAUAUCUGCAUAUGCUUCUGGGUUUCUCAGCUCAAGAUGAAGUGGACAGAGAGGGAGUCUCUGAAACUAUCAGAGUGGUUGCCUUCUGCCACCUACCUGAGAUCCUGGGUGUGCUGAGAGAUUACGGACACUUGGUGCCAUCAAGAAAAGCUACGCAGCCGGAGGUGAUACCAGAGCGCUGUGUUGGAAAGGAACAUACCCUGACACAUCUCAGAGCAGGCUCUUUGUCAUGGCUUGUGAGUUGCAAUGCAAAAAAGGCAACGGGAUCUGUUCGGUUUCUCAGUAUGGAAGGCCAGGAAACGUCCCCUGAGACGAGGAAUGCUACGGAGAGGCAGAUUCGCACGACCUUGAUCCUGUGCUAUGGGCAAGCAGCCCUGGGCGCAAAGCCGGAGGACAUGCUGAUGCUAGUGGACUUCAUCGUAGCUGAGAUCCUUUACCAGUUCCGUGGCACCAAUAAGGUCUUCUUCCCUUUCCUUUUGGACUCCUGUUACUCAGGGACUCCCAGCUUUCUUCUUUCGUGCAAAUUUUGGCAGUGGAGACAUCAGCUUCCCACAAAACCUCCAUCCAGGCACUGAAACGGUGUAUGUGUUAGGACUGACUCAGGGUGUGANNNNNNNGAUACAGGUUGAUCUGUUGUGAUUUGCACCUAUGAAAGUUGGGUUUCCCAGGUGAAUUUGCAGAGGGUCACCAGGGGGCAGAGGCGGAGAGCUUCUCCAACAGCAGGAGCUGCCUUAACAAGGUGCUAACAAGUGGUCAUUGGCACUUCCCACUUCUCUGUUUUUUUUUUAAUUGGUCUUGCUGAUGCUAUGAAAACAGUGAAAAUCUCUUCCACCGCUGAGGUGAAACCUUUUAAAAAAUGGUUUGGAGACGGGGUACUUGAUUGAGGGGAACUGGCAAUCCUGGAAGUGCCCCUUUCCUUUGGGUAAGGUAAUCACACUGGCCGAAAGCGGGUAAAAGUGAUGUCAAAACAACUGUAGUAAAUUUAAAUCACCCCAGCAGCUGAACAAAAAAAAGGACCAUACCCUGGUCAAAAAACACAUCCACAAUAGGCUUCUCCACAUACAGCGUUAUGUUGGGUAGCCUACAAAUUCAGAGGUUCUCCCUUUUUCCCCUUAUGUGAUGGUAUUUCUCCUCCAUUUGUCGACAAAUUAUGUUGUAUUAU